GCCUUUGUGGUGUAGCGGUCAGCACGCUCGACGCGUAACCGAGAGGUCCGUGGUUCGAUUCCCGGCGAAGGCG
rnacentral:tRNA from 1 species